UUUCAUCAGCAAAACGUUAUGCACUAAUUGUGUUUGGUUUUCGUGGUAUAGGCUAGGUGAUGAAGAUCAAUGAAUCAGAAAAUGUUUUGCAUGGGUGGUGAAUGUUCUGACAGUUUUAACAGUUGUGAUGUGGUGUAUUUCACUUCCACGCAUCAUGGUGUUUUUAUCUAUCAGUUGAAUUGUAUGGUUAAUUUUCUGUUCGUGUAACCUCAUUUCCUCUUGAAUCAUAUAGUAGAAAUUGGUGACCUGAAACAAUGAACAUGGAAAAAUCACCUGUGCCAACGUUGACGAUGUUUGAUUGAUGAAGUGCUGGAAACUAAAAUUAAUUUUCUUUACAAUUUGGUUUCAGGCUAUCUUUAUAAUUUUUUAUUAGUUUUGCGUUUGUUUAGAGUCCGCAAGCUCGUAGCUGAUUUCCUCCUUUAGAUACCGCCUGUCGACGGUUUGACAGCCUCACACAAUUGAACGUAUGCCAAAAAGCCAAAGUGAGCUCUUCCGAUCAGAAAAGUGACGGCGUAUCCAUUUAAUUGAAAAUAGGCACAAGAUAACGCACAAUUGGCGUUCUUGCCUCAAUGGAGAAAUUUUUCCGUGGAACUUAUGACCGAAAUACCAUUGCAGCUGUUCAAAAAAAAAGAAAAGUGUAUUAUCAUGCAGAUGUUGACUAGCUAACAAUCCAGAGAUACGUCAACUUGCGAAAUUUCUAGAUGUGUGUGAAGCGCAAUCAGCAUCCUUGUUGAACUGUGAACCCAAAUCAUGUAUUUUCCUAGAAAUAUCUAGGUUUUUGGAUAAAUAAAUAAAAGUCAGUGAAAAAAUGUGA